rfam:Hordeum vulgare subsp. vulgare, WGS project CAJW01000000 data, contig: morex_contig_38750
UUAUUACUCUCUUCGUCCGAAAGUACUUGUUGUAAAAAUUAAUUAAAAUGGAUGUAUCUAGAACUAAAANACAUCUAGAUACAUCCAUUCUUCCGACAAGUAUUUCCGGACGGAGGGAGUAUGUG